AGAGCGAACGCUGGCGGCAGGCUUAACACAUGCAAGUCGAGCGGGCGUAGCAAUACGUCAGCGGCAGACGGGUGAGUAACGCGUGGGAACAUACCUUUUGGUUCGGAACAACACAGGGAAACUUGUGCUAAUACCGGAUAAGCCCUUACGGGGAAAGAUUUAUCGCCGAAAGAUUGGCCCGCGUCUGAUUAGCUAGUUGGUGAGGUAACGGCUCACCAAGGCGACGAUCAGUAGCUGGUCUGAGAGGAUGAUCAGCCACAUUGGGACUGAGACACGGCCCAAACUCCUACGGGAGGCAGCAGUGGGAAUAUUGGACAAUGGGCGCAAGCCUGAUCCAGCCAUGCCGCGUGAGUGAUGAAGGCCCUAGGGUUGUAAAGCUUCUUUUGUGCGGGAAGAUAAGUGACGGUACCGCAAAGAAUAACGCCCCGGCUAACUUCGCGCCAGCAGCCGC
rnacentral:rRNA from 1 species